UUUUAUUAAAGGAAGUGAGUCAGACACAGAAAGUCAAAUGCUCUAUAGUUCAUAUUCAGUGGCACCGUAACAUGCAGCUGUAGAUGAGUAAGUCCUUCACAGCAGAUGUACAAAUGUGAGUGUAGACAAAAUAAUCUCUUAUGUACCUUAAUGCUACUAAGAGAGUCGCUACCUCAUCAUUCUCAUGAAUAUAGAAAAUGUAACUAUGAUGUAAUCAAUAUGAAAGUUGGCUUGAUUGUAGGAACCAUAUACCAAUGUAGACAUAUAUCAAACAUCAUGUUGAACACCUACAAUGUAUACAAUUUUUAUUUGUUAAUCUCAACAAAGAUAAAAAUAACUCAGAAGGCAGCCUAGAAAAGCUAAGGGGUACUGUAGUUGGGAGAUACCAGUCAAGGAAACUCUUUUCUUCUUUUGGAAUCCUCCUGCUGUUAUCCUAGUUAAGAAAGACUAGAACAGAAAAAACAGAUGUGCACAUACCACAAAUAAUGGAGGGGGCAUGUUUUUGUAGACCUGCUCCUACAUGUGAGCAGGGCUCAACCUGGGGUUGCAACCUGCAGGUGGGGAGCAUUCAUGGGAGAGGAGGCUGGGAACCUAGGAAGGAGGUUGCUUCUACAAGGUUUUCAUGUCUCAACAGAAAGCAUGAACUUCCACUGUUCCAUAGAAGGAAAGAAAUCACUAUGGAGUCCUAAUUAAGAAAGACACAAAAUUAGAGUCAGUUUUAUGGUUUUAUUGAAUACUAUCAUUCUCAUCUAAAGACCAGAUCUUUGAUACCUAAAGAGUUUUUGUUUCUUCUUGUUUCCCCAGGCAAAGGAGGUCCUCCAGAGCUUCCUACAUCCACUGUCUGCCAUAGAAAAUCCAUCGUGCAGUCAGAUAAAGCCCUCACUAAGGGAGAGAAGGCCAUAGCAGGUACAGGGGAGGUCGUAGCUCUCAGAGGGUGGGGAGGUUCCUGCACAGACCUUGACUGACUGGGCAAGAAAACCUUCCUGAAACCAGAAGCUUCCUCCUGCUAUGGAGCACAUGACCUGCUAAAUCUGAGAGCAAGAGGGGAGUCCAGCAAAUAGUUUUCCAUCACAAUUGCAAACAUACUGUCAUGGCUAUUGGGCAAAUUGAGAGAUUUCCCUCUUGCCUUUUCUGAAAUCACCUUGGUGUGCUACCUAGGAGGCUAGAAUGCAAGCCUGUUGUUUCUUCUCUCUUCUAAAAUCUUUGUGGAGCAGAGGAGCGGGCCAAGAAGGAGGCAGCUGAGAAGGAACAGGAGCUGCUAAGGCAGCAGCAGAAGGAGCAGCAGGAAAGGAUGGAGGCCCAAGAGAGAAGCUUCUGGGAAAAUAUGGUACAGAGAAGAUGGAGAGAGAAAGGGAGAACAUCCUGAGAGAGCAGGAAAGGGUGCUGGAGCACAAGCUGAAGGUGAGUCUCUACAGGGCCUGGCAGGAUGUGACAAACACUGCCUGAUAUCUCAGUUUGGGAUGGGACAAAAUGUUAGAUACAGACAGCAUUCCAAAGGGACACCCAGAAGGUAAAUGUUUCACUGACACGGACAUCUCAAGUGCACCUGGAUCCUAAUGAAGCCUAUAAAUCUAAGAGACUUCAACACUCUGUGUAUUGAUAGACUUUGGAGGGUACAAAUAAUAACCCCCUGGUGGUGGAUUACUCUUUGUUGAGAUUAUGUGCCCCAAUUGAGUAGGAUUCUGGCACAACCAUCCAAGAGACCUGAAACAGAUCCUUAUGGUCUGUAUGCAUCAGAUUUGGCCUCAUAUAAAAUUAGGACAGUGAAAGAUCAGAAAUUGUUCCACUUGCUGGUUCAUCUAUAUAAGUAGAGUAAAACAAACCUGUCUCAUAACCAGGAACUUGAUGACCAGUGUUCUGUACAAGGGCAGCAUUUCCCAUGAUUUGUUAGAGCAUCAUAGCCAUGCCACCUUGGUGGAUCUGAGAAUCAAUCAGAAUUCAACCUCAUUCUCCCCCACACAGCAUCCUUUGUGCUGGAAUAAAAUUCCUCUCCACUUCCAGUGAGUGUGAGGAAAUCUCACAAGUGUGUAAGCCCUGGGUACGCCCCCUCUUCAGGUCAAAAGUCUGAAAAUACCAAAGAAUAUUCUAAGGUGGUAGAGAAAUAGACAAAUGUGCUUAACUGCUGAAUUUGUUAAAUUCUGAAUUCUGGCAGUUAAUAACCAGAGAUUCUCAAAGGUGGACUCUUCCUCUUUUAUAGGUCCAAAAAGAAACUUUUUACUGAGGGAUUUAAAGAGAAAUCUGAGGCAUUAACUAAAGAGAUAAAUUUAAGAGAAGAGAUUGAAACAUGUAAAAAGAAGACACCCUUGAUAUUUUCACAGAUUCUUGAUAUAGCUCCAACUGUUUUCCUUGUAAUAGUCCCUGGGACUGGUAAAACUAGUUGGGGUAGGGAUGAAAAUUAUUAGUGCCAUUAAGAGUAGCCAGAGGAUUCCUAAUAGGAAAUCAUAAAAUGAGGCAUCUUUUAUUUUAAUAACAUUUUUCUAUGGUUCCUUUUAAAGGAGAUUGUGUCAUAUCAGUUUCAUUCAAGAAAAAUUUAAAAAUAAAAAGUAGUUAUCAAAGAAUAUGAGUUUAUCCCUAAGAGAAAUGAUUUUUAUUGAAUUGAAGUAAUAAGAAACAAUGAAGACAAUAUGAAAUGAUUUCUAAAAAAGUCUUAACUAAAGCAAAAAAGCUAAAUAGCAAUGUGAAGAAAAUAUUUGCAAUUCAUAUUUAGUCAUGAAAGUUUUUUAAGUCAUAUUGAGCUCUUGUGGAAAAUGACCAACAACCACAUUGUUUAAAUAGAAAGAAACAUGAAGAAAAUUUCAUUUUUACUAAAACUAAUGUGCAAAACAAAACUGAAGAACAUAGUUUUGUCUUCUUAAUGGGCAGUGAAGAACAGUUUUAGUAAUAUACAUCAAAAAUUAAAAUGCACAUACCUCUGAUCUAGCAAUUGCAUAUACAGGAAAUUCGCUUAUGUGACUUUUUACCCAAUUAUAAAUGAUUUUUGUAGUGGUUUACUUAUUUCAGUGUCAUGAUAAUUACAAAAGACUGGAAGCAACUGAAAGUCCCUGUGUCAGGUACUGAUAAGGGAAAUAAUAGGACAUAUUUUCAGAAUAAUACUCAAUAAUCAUUGUAAAAAGUUGGGGAGUUGUAGGGGUAGGGGAUCUCCAAGAUUUAGCAUUAAUGAAUGAAAAAUGUAGAAAAUGUGAAUACUUAAAUUUAUAAAAUAUUGAAUAUGCAUAUAUGUUAUAACCUACCUAUGGAAAAUACAAAACACUAGUGUAUAUGUCACAAUAGGAAGGCACCUGUAUAGUUGAGGUGAAAGAAGAGAGCACAACUAACUUUACAUCAUAUAUUCUUCCAUGUUUUUAACACUUUGUAUGGAUUUUUUACAUUCAAACAAAUACAAGUAUAAUUGGCAAAACUGAAAAUGAAAUAAUAUGUGUUUGGAAAAUUCCCAGGACAGGAUGAAAGUGGGUUUAGUACUACUAGAAAUAGCAAAAUUUCGCUCGACUAGAAAAGACUGCUUCUAAGAACAAGGAACUAGAAAGCACAAGACAUCCUGAUUUUUUGAUUUUCGUUAUGACCUUUCAAUAAGGCCUUUAACAUCUAUUCCACAGAAUAUGCUUUUCAAACUUAGGUUUAAGGCGAACUGGAUCCAAGGGUUGCAACCAUUGAAUCCUUCUGUCAAGUGUUACCCUGACCUUGAUCCCCUUCCAUCCUUACUCCAACCCUUUUCCUGUGGAUUGCUUUCUCCAUGAUGGCUUCAGUCUUCAAACCACUCAUACCCUCUGGAACCACAGCACCAACAGCUACAAAAUUAGAACCCUCCAUCUAUAAGUACAGAGAUUCUCUCUUUCCCAGGAUCUCUACAUACCUCCUAAAAGCUCUCUUGCUAGAAGAUCUCAUGACUGCUGAUCCUGAUGCAUGUGCCUGCUCAGUGACAGGGAGUCCUGACCACCAGCCCUACUUCAUCCGAGUGGAAUAGUACCUGGUGGAAAAGGCCAUGCGAAAAAGGACAAGAACAAACUCAGCACUUCCACUGUUCUCUGAACUCUUACGGCUGAAGAAAUUCUGCACAAAUAUUUGCUGUCCUAGGAGUCUGUGAGUGAUGCAACUUCACAGACAGAUAAGACUCUCACAGAAAAGGAAAGGAGAUCAAACGUGAGCAGAGACCAAGAGACUACAUACUCAAAAAAGUCUCUUUAAAGUUUAAAUAUUUGGAUGAAACUGUUACCAUUAAACUAAGUAAAAAUCACAUAGACUGUCUUGGCUCCUGAAGCCAUUUCUGAGAAUGUUGUAUGCAGUCACUAGCAUCAUGGCUACCCCAUCGAAAAAUAGUCCUAGAACAUUCCCGCUGUCUAUUACAUGUAACAUCAGUGUAAUGAUAAAAACUUUACAAAAAGAUCUUCUGAAGAACCAAUCUGCAGCUUUGGGAGGUCCUGCUCUGUGAAACAGUGGGGACAGCAAUGGCUAAGUUGUACAGUGGACUCUGGCCUUGAAAUGAGAUGGGGCAGAAUCCUCUCCAGAGUUGGGAGAAACACAGUAGGUUCUCACCCUGAGCAGGGCACAGCUGGCCUGAGCUUCCAGGCCUGCCAUUCCUCAUGCCUUCUUCAUAGAAGGGUAUCAGGUGCUGUUCCUUCUCCUGGCCCAUCCCAUACUCUAGACCCCACAGACUUUAUCAUUUAUAUCAACCCUUGUGUCAGUUAACAAAUGCUUCUUUAUACAUUCACAGACAAACCUCCCAUAUCACCACCUGUCCAGGUGAUUCCUCCAGAUUAGGACAAUUCACAUGCUUUUUAGUCACCCAUGGGCAUAAACUGGGAUCAACAUCCAAACACACAGCAUGCUGUUUAUUGUAAUUAGCUGAGGUAAGUUGCAGGAAUAAAUAACAUCCCACACAAGUUCCAAGCUGCUAUUGUCAUCAAUUUUUGUCUCUCUAAUUUGUGAGCAGGAUAAAGCACCUUUUCUAGUUCCAGUGGCUGCCAUAACCCAGGUUUCUCUCCCAGUAUGAGGCCCAGUACAACUCUUCAUUCCAAGCAAACUUGUUUAUCUAAACAUCAUAAUGUACAUGGUUAUGCAAAUAACUGAUCUGUGCCCAGUUGAAUCCUUUUAUGUAAGUUUUGUACACAGUUAGUUCAUAUUAACCAAAUAACAACUGGUCUAACAAGUUAGUGACCAGUUGAAGAUUCAUACCUAAUGUUUCAGAAGUUACCCAGAA
rnacentral:lncRNA from 1 species